rnacentral:rRNA from 1 species
UGUAGCGGGGGAUAACUAUUGGAAACGAUAGCUAAUACCGCAUAACAAUGGAUGACCCAUGUCAUUUAUUUGAAAGGGGCAAAUGCUCCACUACAAGAUGGACCUGCGUUGUAUUAGCUAGUAGGUGAGGUAACGGCUCACCUAGGCGACGAUACAUAGCCGACCUGAGAGGGUGAUCGGCCACACUGGGACUGAGACACGGCCCAGACUCCUACGGGAGGCAGCAGUAGGGAAUCUUCGGCAAUGGGGGCAACCCUGACCGAGCAACGCCGCGUGAGUGAAGAAGGUUUUCGGAUCGUAAAGCUCUGUUGUAAGUCAAGAACGAGUGUGAGAGUGGAAAGUUCACACUGUGACGGUAGCUUACCGGAAAGGGACGGCUAACUACGUGCCAGCAGCCGCGGUAAUACGUAGGUCCCGAGCGUUGUCCGGAUUUAUUGGGCGUAAAGCGAGCGCAGGCGGUUUGAUAAGUCUGAAGUUAAAGGCUGUGGCUCAACCAUAGUUCGCCUUGGAAACUGUCAAACUUGAGUGCAGAAGGGGAGAGUGGAAUUCCAUGUGUAGCGGUGAAAUGCGUAGAUAUAUGGAGGAACACCGGUG